CUCCAUUACACAAUCCAUUUAAAUACCACUUUCUCAAUAUCCUCUUAGCAAUAUUGAAAAAGUGGUAUUUAAAUUGAUUGUGUAAUGGAG